GACGAACGCUGGCGGCGUGCUUAACACAUGCAAGUCGAACGGGAACCUUUAUUUCGGUAAAGGUGAGAGUGGCAAACGGGUGAGUAACACGUAGGCAACCUGCCGACAGGAUGGGGACAACAUUCCGAAAGGAAUGCUAAUACCGAAUGGAGUCCGGAGAUGGCAUCAUCUCCGGAUAAAAGAUGGCCUCUGAAUAUGCUAUCGCCUGUCGAUGGGCCUGCGUCUGAUUAGCCAGUUGGCGGGGUAACGGCCCACCAAAGCGACGAUCAGUAGCCGGUCUGAGAGGAUGAACGGCCACAUUGGGACUGAGACACGGCCCAGACUCCUACGGGAGGCAGCAGUGGGGAAUCUUCCACAAUGGGCGAAAGCCUGAUGGAGCAACGCCGCGUGAGUGAAGAAGGUCUUCGGAUCGUAAAGCUCUGUUGCACGGGACGAAAACCGAGCUUGAAAAUAUUGAGUUUGGGGACG
rnacentral:rRNA from 1 species